rnacentral:rRNA from 1 species
AUUGAACGCUGGCGGCAGGCCUAACACAUGCAAGUCGAACGGUAACAGGAAGAAGCUUGCUUCUUUGCUGACGAGUGGCGGACGGGUGAGUAAUGUCUGGGAAACUGCCUGAUGGAGGGUGAUAACUACUGGAAACGGUAGCUAAUACCGCAUAACGUCGCAAGACCAAAGAGGGGGACCUUCGGGCCUCUUGCCAUCGGAUGUGCCCAGAUGGGAUUAGCUAGUAGGUGGGGUAACGGCUCACCUAGGCGACGAUCCCUAGCUGGUCUGAGAGGAUGACCAGCCACACUGGAACUGAGACACGGUCCAGACUCCUACGGGAGGCAGCAGUGGGGAAUAUUGCACAAUGGGCGCAAGCCUGAUGCAGCCAUGCCGCGUGUAUGAAGAAGGCCUUCGGGUUGUAAAGUACUUUCAGCGGGGAGGAAGGGAGUAAAGUUAAUACCUUUGCUCAUUGACGUUACCCGCAGAAGAAGCACCGGCUAACUCCGUG